CGCGGUAUCUUGACCGUGCGAAGGUAGCAUAAUCAUUUGUCUCUUAAAUAGAGACUAGUAUGAAUGGCAAGACGGAACUCUACUGUCUCCUUACCCCAUCCUUGAAUUUCACUUCCCCGUGAAGAGGCGGGGAUCACUUCGUUAGACGAGAAGACCCUGUCGAGCUUGUAACAAAGUACAAGAUUCUAAACCUCUAAUUUAAGCUUCUAACUAUCAAAAACUUAAAGCUAAAUUAGAAAAAGAAAUCUUUACUAGUUUUGGUUGGGGCAACCGCGGAGAAAGCCAAACCUCCGUUACCAUAAUUUAAACAAAGAGAAAUACCUCUAAUACAACUCAAGACAAUAAAUGAUCCACCUAGGUGAUCAAAAGAAAAAGUUACCGCAGGGAUAACAGCGUUAUCUUCUUUGAGAGUCCAUAUUGACAAGAAGGUUUGCGACCUCGAUGUUGGAUCGGGACAUCCCAGAGGUGCAGAAGCUUUU
rnacentral:rRNA from 1 species